rnacentral:rRNA from 1 species
AUUGAACGCUGGCGGCAGGCUUAACACAUGCAAGUCGAACGAGUGGCGGACGGGUGAGUAAUGCUUGGGAAUCUGGCUUAUGGAGGGGGAUAACGACGGGAAACUGUCGCUAAUACCGCGUACCAUAGGAUGAGCCCAAGUGGGAUUAGGUAGUUGGUGGGGUAAUGGCCUACAAAGGCGAAGAUCCCUAGCGGGUCUGAGAGGAUGACCAGCCACACUGGGACGGAGACACGGCCCAGACUCCUACGGGAGGCAGCAGUGGGGAAUAUUGCGCAAUGGGCGCAACCUGACGCAGCAAUGCCGCGUGAGUGAAGAAGGCCUUCGGGUUGUAAAGUUCUUUCGGUGGCGAGGCGUUAUUCACAGAAGAAGCACCGGCUAACUCCGUGCCAGCAGCCGCGGUAAUAC